GCCCUGCUAGCGUAAUGGUUAACGCGUCUCCCUCCUAAGGAGAAGACUUCGGGUUCGAGUCCCGAGUAGGGUU
rnacentral:tRNA from 2 species